rnacentral:lncRNA from 1 species
AAUAAGUAGAGGAUCAGAGAGUAGACUCCACAGGAAAUGUGGUGGACCCAUUCACUAAGCAGAUAAGUCAGCAGAAAACUGAAGCGCAUCUUGAGAAGAUGGGGCUUAGGUUUAUGGCUGAUUGGCUUUAGUGCAAGUGGGAGAUUGUUAGAAGUAUGCCCUAGAAGCCAAUUUGGCUGACGCAUUAUUUUAUUUUGGGACAUAAAUUUAUACUUGACC